rnacentral:rRNA from 1 species
UACGGAGGGUGCAAGCGUUAAUCGGAAUUACUGGGCGUAAAGCGUGCGCAGGCGGUGAUGUAAGACAGGUGUGAAAUCCCCGGGCUUAACCUGGGAACUGCAUUUGUGACUGCAUCGCUGGAGUGCGGCAGAGGGGGAUGGAAUUCCGCGUGUAGCAGUGAAAUGCGUAGAUAUGCGGAGGAACACCGAUGGCGAAGGCAAUCCCCUGGGCCUGCACUGACGCUCAUGCACGAAAGCGUGGGGAGCAAACGGG